GGACGUGCUCUAAAAGGAUAAAUAAUUGAUUAAUAAGGUUAAAUUGUUAUAUUGGUCAGAGUAAUGGGAAUAAUAUGUUAAUAGUAAGUCGCCUGAAAUUAGUGUCGUUGGUUAAAGGUUAAAAGUACUGUAGGGGAACUUUGUGAAUUAAUAAAAAGAAAUAUUUGUACCUUUUGUAUCAGGGUCUUCCUAUUUGGCUAUAAAAUUUUAUUUAUUUUCGAAGGGAAAGGAGCUAAUGUUUAAAACUAAUUACCGUGGUAAAGGUAUUAGAAAUUAAAGAUUAGGAGUGAUAUGCUAGUCGUCUUUCUAUAUCUAAUUUUUUCUGAAAUAAAUUUAAUUUAGCGUCAAUUGUUAGUUAGGUUGGCUGAGAUUUUAGGGGGCAUGAGCUCGUUAGUUAGUUUAGUUUAAGGUUAAAUAAGUUAUAUUUUCAUUGGAAUAGGCUUAAAAUUAGCUAAUUUUAGAGGGUGUUAUAAUCAAUGUGGUGAAUAAAUAUAUAUUUUUAUUUGUUUGAAUUAAGUUAAGAGAAAGUGUGUUUUAAUAUAAAAAAUAUAGUUAAAGUGGUUGUAUUAGUAGAGUGUUUAUUGUGUUUUAUGGAAUUAAAAUUUGAUUAAAUUAUAAUAUAUUUUUGUUAAGGAGAAUUAACUCGGCAAAUUAGACUUCCGGCUGUUUAUCAAAAACAUUUUUGUUGGUUUAUAUAAACAAUUUAGUCUGCCCACUGGCUGUGUGCUAAAGGGCCGCGGUAUUCUGACCGUGCGAAGGUAGCAUAAUCAAUAGUCUCUUAAUUGGAGGCUGGAAUGAAUGGCUGCACGAGAAGGAAGCUGUCUCCUCCUUAAAAAUUGAAUUUUACUUUUAAGUGAAAAGGCUUAAAUAUUCUGAGGGGACGAUAAGACCCUAUAAAACUUUACAAUUUAUUUCUGCUUCAUAAAUUUUUGUUUAAAUUGAGUGAGAUGUAUUAUUGUUAGGUUGGGGCGACUAUUAUAUAAUUUUUAAUAACUGUAAGUGAAAGGAAUAGUUUUAUUUAGUUAGUUGAUCCUUUAAUAAAGAUUAAAAGAUUAAGUUACUUUAGGGAUAACAGCGUAAUUUUUUCUGAGAGUUCCUAUCGAUGAAAUUAGUUGCGACCUCGAUGUUGAAUUAAAGUAUCUUUUAAGUGUAGCAGCUUAGUUAGUUGGUCUGUUCGACCAUUAAAACUUUACAUGAUUUGAGUUCAAACCGGUGUGAGCCAGGUUGGUUUCUAUCUCUCAGGUAAAAGAAGCCCUUUUUAGUACGAAAGGAUCAAAAGGGCCAGCAAAUCUGUUAGAUUUUGAUGAAUAGUAAUUUU
rnacentral:rRNA from 1 species